rnacentral:rRNA from 1 species
AACGAACGCUGGCGGCAUGCCUAACACAUGCAAGUCGAACGAGACCUUCGGGUCUAGUGGCGCACGGGUGCGUAACGCGUGGGAAUCUGCCCUUAGGUUCGGAAUAACUUCGGGAAACUGAAGCUAAUACCGGAUGAUGACGUAAGUCCAAAGAUUUAUCGCCUAAGGAUGAGCCCGCGUUGGAUUAGCUAGUUGGUGAGGUAAAGGCUCACCAAGGCGACGAUCCAUAGCUGGUCUGAGAGGAUGAUCAGCCACACUGGGACUGAGACACGGCCCAGACUCCUACGGGAGGCAGCAGUGGGGAAUAUUGGACAAUGGGCGAAAGCCUGAUCCAGCAAUGCCGCGUGAGUGAUGAAGGCCUUAGGGUUGUAAAGCUCUUUUACCCGGGAUGAUAAUGACAGUACCGGGAGAAUAAGCUCCGGCUAACUCCGUGCCAGCAGCCGCGGUAAU